ensembl:lncRNA
GCUUUGAAUCAAUGUCCCUGCCUCACAGUCCAAGUCAAGACAGUUGUGUGUCUCAUACCUCCAGUCGAUCAACAUCAUUUGAAGAGGCUUGCAAAGGUGAUGCAGAUACAAUACCAACUAGGAGAUCAAGAGCCACUCAUACUUUAACAAUUCCCACAAAUUCUCACAGAGAAAUGAGGCGCUCUGCAUCUGAGCAGGCACCCCAUGUUCCUCAACAUCCUAACCUUAUUACGGAAACUCGCAGCAAGUCAUUUGACUACAGUAGUUUGUCUCCAGAUCGAACCCCUGCAGGAUGGAGAGAACGGCGGAAAUGCCUUUUAAUGAGGCAUAGUGCAGUGAGGGAACCCGAGGAAGAAGACCAAUCUUCUAAAGUCUUCAACACCAGUUCUCCAACUAAAAGGACAAACACAUCACCCAGCUAUAGCCCAGACACCUCCUACAGCCCAAACACCACCCAUCGUGUGAUGUUAAGCAAUACUAUUCACUCAUUUGGUGAGAAGCAGAUCAUGCAAUCACAGCAUGUUUUAUCAGAGAAUACCCAGCAGUUUCAUACUGACCAGCCCUCAACAUUGGGAAGUCUGCUUUGUGCAUCAGGUGCUGCCAGAGCUCAUUAUUCUUCAAUGUCGACAGGACUCAAGCUUGAAAUUCCAGUGGAGAAUGAAUUGGUGAAUUCUGAUACAAGGGUCAAUCAACCAUACCUCACUCAUUAUCAUCAUCAGAAUAUUGGUUUUGAUGUUACUUCAAACCCAGAACUAAUGAGACCUUUACCAACCCAGAGAAUUCCAGUCCGACUUAAUUCACAUCUUCCACAUUAUGCAGGCUCCAUUUAUACUACAGUUUCACAAACAAGUCCUCAGGAUCCUUGCUGCUCUGGAGUCAGUUCAGUUGCAGUGGCCUCAAGGUUUGAAAUCAUAGACCAACAACCAAUAUCUGAUGGAUCUAAAUCAGUAAGUGCUGGUGCAACCAAACGUGUGCUGUCCCCCACAAGCAGUGAGGAGCUCAGCCCAGUAAGUGAACAACAACAAAAACGAGUGAAGGAGGAGAUGGACAGUCAGGAAUAUGAAAGUGGAAAUGAUAAAGUUUUGAUCGAAUGCAAGAAAGAAGAAAGACUUGGUGAGCAAAGUGACAUCUUCCUUACAGAACACAAAGAAACAUCAUUUCCUACUCUUAACACUAACGUUAAUUUUAGCUGGUGCUAUCUAAA